rnacentral:rRNA from 1 species
AUGAAGGCCCUCUGGGUUGUAAACUUCUUUUAUUUGGGAAGAAACCCAUUUUUUCUAAGAUGGUUGACGGUACCAGAUGAAUAAGCACCGGCUAACUCCGUGC